rnacentral:lncRNA from 1 species
GGAAAUUCUACCCCCCAAGUAUGGCACCUUGGCAUGCUGAGUAUUUUAAGCUGAAGGAAACAGAGAAAACCACAGAAGCAGAAAGGUCUUUCUGACCUCUCUUGAAGACCCUCAUGUGACAGGUGUCCUGCCCUACAUCCAGAGAGAAGGAAUGUUCCACAGACAGACUAAGAAGAAUCUGAAGAAUCAGGCCUUACUAAGUGCCCUCCAGUGGAUGCUGUGGGGCACCACCUCCUUGAGGACCAAGGCACUCCAGCUGCCAGGAAUUUGGCUGCUAACCUCACACAGCUGAGCCUUCCAUGAAAAUUGCUCUCUGCCAAAGAGAACUUCCUAGUCCAAGGUCAUGUCUACUCUCCAGAGAAAUGCACUGACCCUGCACUCUACAGGACACUAUGCUCAUUCCGAAUGCUAAGGUCAGUCCUAGGAAACUG